rnacentral:misc_RNA from 1 species
GUUCCUCAACUUGCAUGAGUUUGUGGACAUCAUACUCACGAACGUGAUAUACAGAUCUUAUAGUUCUCUCAUUAUAGGGAGGCCUCUCAUGGUGUCCUAAAUGAUAAUCUCGCGCGCUAUAUAUCCCAGAAAGGCCACCUAUACGUAUAUUGCCAAACUUGACCACCCCAGCAAAUCCCAGAAAGUAUAUAUUAGGGGCUGCCCAUCCUCCAUAAUAUAGUUCCCAUAAAUAAUUGGAAGCUUCAUGGUUCCCGCCGAUGAAAAUGGCGAUGAAAAUGGUCGGAAUCGGAGCGACUUCUUGGCCCGAAUAGUACUUCCAGAACGACUUCAUCUCGCGAUAUUUCGGCGGCACAUUUAAGCUCUCCAUGUCUCUCGCAUUCCUCACAGCCUGGAAAUCGCCGCAACAGAGGAGAAGGUCGAUUUUGAAGCCGUUCAAUCUUUCCACGUGUUGGAUUGUUUGGUAGACGAUGUCCAGAUCUCCAUGCAUACACCCCUCUACAGCUAUCUUCAUCUUCAAAUUUUUGAUAAUUUGAAUUGGUAAG